CAUUGCGCCGGUCUGCGAUCAUUACACGAACAGUCAACAAAUCAAGUCACGUGGGAGGCCAACUGAGGUCACGUGACCAGCCUUAUUCCGGGACUCUACAGCUGUGACCUAGAAUAUCUCACCAUCUUCCCUUUCCAUCUCCAUCUCUCCACCACUGUGGGCCGCAGUGUUCUUCCUUUUCACCUGCCGGUGGGUGGAGCCACAGGGUCUCUGCAUGGGCACCAGCAGACGGAAGCCGGGUGAGGCGGGUACAGACGCUGGUCCCAGGCUGACUGGGGAGAGAUGGCAAGGGACCAGGGAGGAAGAAGAAGAGGCAGUGGAAGGACUGCUGCUCUGGACAGAAGAGUAUCCAGAGCUGUGGAGAUUGAUGCGGAGUGGCCUUUUGGAAGAAAAGGAAGAGCAGGAUGCAGCAGGCUCAGCCAUGUUUUCCUCAUCACUUGAGAGAGCACUGCAGUGUAGACGCUGCACUCCCAGUGGUAGCUGAACUGAGAAGAUAGAAACUGUGGAAACAAAACAAACAUCUCUGUUACUUGUACAUUUGUGGUAUAACAUUAAAUUACCAAUAAUUUUAAAA